rnacentral:rRNA from 1 species
UACGUAGGUGGCAAGCGUUAUCCGGAAUUAUUGGGCGUAAAGAGCUCGUAGGCGGUUUGUCGCGUCUGCCGUGAAAGUCCGGGGCUCAACUCCGGAUCUGCGGUGGGUACGGGCAGACUAGAGUGAUGUAGGGGAGACUGGAAUUCCUGGUGUAGCGGUGAAAUGCGCAGAGUAUCAGGAGGAACACCGAUGGCGAAGGCAGGUCUCUGGGCAUUAACUGACGCUGAGGAGCGAAAGCAUGGGGAGCGAACAGG